UACGGAGGGGGCUAGCGUUGUCCGGAAUUACUGGGCGUAAAGCGCACGUAGGCGGCUCUCUAAGUCGGGGGUGAAAUCCUGGAGCUCAACUCCAGAACUGCCUUCGAUACUGGAAAGCUCGAGUCCGGGAGAGGUGAGUGGAACUGCGAGUGUAGAGGUGAAAUUCGUAGAUAUUCGCAAGAACACCAGUGGCGAAGGCGGCUCACUGGCCCGGUACUGACGCUGAGGUGCGAAAGCGUGGGGAGCAAACAGG
rnacentral:rRNA from 1 species